rnacentral:rRNA from 1 species
GAUGAACGCUAGCGGGAGGCCUAACACAUGCAAGCCGAGCGGUAGAGUCUCUUCGGAGACUUGAGAGCGGCGCACGGGUGCGGAACACGUGUGCAACCUGCCUUUAUCUGGGGGAUAGCCUUUCGAAAGGAAGAUUAAUACCCCAUAAUAUACUGGAUGGCAUCAUCUGGUAUUGAAAACUCCGGUGGAUAGAGAUGGGCACGCGCAAGAUUAGAUAGUUGGUGAGGUAACGGCUCACCAAGUCAGCGAUCUUUAGGGGGCCUGAGAGGGUGAUCCCCCACACGGGUACUGGGACACGGACCAGACGCAUACGGGAGGCAGCAGUGAGGAAUAUUGGACAAUGGGUGAGAGCCUGAUCCAGCCAUGCCGCGUGAAGGACGACGGGCCUAGGGGUUGUAAACUUCUUUUGUAUAGGGAUAAACCUAGAUACGUGUAUCUAGCUGAAGGUACUAUACGAAUAAGCACCGGCUAACUCCGUG